rnacentral:rRNA from 1 species
AACGAACGCUGGCGGCAUGCCUAACACAUGCAAGUCGAACGACACCUUCGGGUCUAGUGGCGCACGGGUGCGUAACGCGUGGGAACCUGCCCUUAGGUUCGGAAUAACUCCCCGAAAGGGGUGCUAAUACCGGAUAAUGUCCUCGGACCAAAGAUUUAUCGCCGUUGGAUGGGCCCGCGUUGGAUUAGCUAGUUGGUAGGGUAAAAGCCUCCCAAGGCGACGAUCCAUAGCUGGCCGGAGAGGAUGAUCAGCCACACUGGGACUGAGACACGGCCCAGACUCCUACGGGAGGCAGCAGUGGGGAAUAUUGGACAAUGGGCGAAAGCCUGAUCCAGCAAUGCCGCGUGAGUGAUGAAGGCCUUAGGGUUGUAAAGCUCUUUUACCCGGGAUGAUAAUGACAGUACCGGGAGAAUAAGCUCCGGCUAACUCCGUG